AUUGAACGCUGGCGGAAUGCUUUACACAUGCAAGUCGAACGGCAGCACGGGGCAACCUGGUGGCGAGUGGCGAACGGGUGAGUAAUACAUCGGAACGUGCCCAAUCGUGGGGGAUAACGUAGCGAAAGUUACGCUAAUACCGCAUACGAUCUACGGAUGAAAGCGGGGGAUCGCAAGACCUCGCGCGAAUGGAGCGGCCGAUGUCAGAUUAGGUAGUUGGUGGGGUAAAGGCUUACCAAGCCCGCGAUCUGUAGCUGGUCUGAGAGGAUGAUCAGCCACACUGGGACUGAGACACGGCCCAGACUCCUACGGGAGGCAGCAGUGGGGAAUUUUGGACAAUGGGCGAAAGCCUGAUCCAGCCAUUCCGCGUGCAGGAUGAAGGCCCUCGGGUUGUAAACCUCUUUUGUACGGGUAAGAAGGAAGUGACGGUACUGUACGAAUAAGUCCCGGCUAACUACGUG
rnacentral:rRNA from 1 species